rnacentral:lncRNA from 1 species
CAGAUCAAUACGGGGGUCAUUCUUUCCUUUGAGCUAUGAAGGAAACACUCAUCUCUAUUCUCUCCAGGCUUAUGUUCCUGUCUACAAAUAAGUACAUAGUUGUAUAUCUUAGUUGUGGGUCCUUCUAGUUGUUGUAUGUGGGACACCACCUCAAUGUGGCCUGAUGAGUGGUGCCAUGUCCGCCGCAGGAUCCAACCCAGAGACCCCUUGGCCGCAGCAGCAGAGCACACGAACUUAACCACUUGGCCGGGAAGCCAGCCCCCUGUCACAUGGUGCACCAUGGAGAUUCUGCUAGACAGCACACUCAAGAGGGAAAUGUUAAAAAGGAGAACCAGCCAAACAGUGUCCUCUCCAUUUGUAGCCUCGCAAAGAAAACUCACAGGCAAAGAAAGGGAGGAGAGCUUCCUGUGAACACCUCCACAGGUGUUCACCUCUGCAUACCUUACUGCUGGCUUAUAAAAUGGGGCCUAACGAAAAGAAGGACAGAUGGAAGGAAACUGCUUGUGGAACCAAAAAGUCUUGCAACAAACCUGCCCUCAGGCAGGAGGCUACUAAGCCAGGUCCAGGCCUCAGCCCCUUUCAUGCCACAGACCCAAAGGGCUGUGACCGCUCCCCUCCCCUAAUUAAAGCAUUGGCCACCUAUUCACUCCUCCAGGAUCCCUCUUUCUUAAACUAACUAAAGAAAAAUAUUCCUAUCUCCUCCCAUCUCCCCUUGAUGUCAUCCCCAAAGAUAAGCCCAUUGACCAUUUUAAGAGUUUCAGAGCCAGUUAUAAUAGAGACGCUGAAAGGAGAAAGCAAGCCUACGUGGAUUAUGCACACGUGCUCAAUUCUUUUGAUUUUACAGAGCUCUCAUCCUCAUGCAAGGCACUGAAAUUCAUUGAGCUUAAUGUCCUUAUCUACAAACUGGCGUAAUACCUCCAGCACAGGUAGGAGCAACAGCCAUGGAGAAGCACUGCCCAGAGACCUGUUCUAGGAAGGAUCUGAUUCCCAGGUGAAGAGGAGGAUCAGCAGACAGCCUCCAGUUGUCAGAGCCAACAGGGUCUGCUCAGGUGCAGAGAACCGCCUGUCUGAGAUCAUAGGUUUCCCAGGUAGGAUGACCAGCUCCUUGGGUGUGCCUGGAACUUUCUUGGCACUAAAAGUCUCGCAUCCCAGGAUGGGUCUGUGGGCUGGAGUCUGACUCAAUGGGUGCAUCCUUAAAAGCAGAGCCAUUUGCCCUCAGCAUCUGACAAGGCCAAACCUUUGUGAAGAUUGGGGUCCAUUGUCUGGAACAAUGAGCCACAGUGAUUCGGCUCUUCCUCCCCUCCCCCGCACCAGCUGAGCUGAGCACAGCUGCCCACAGAGCCCACUGGGAUCUACUGACAAGAAAAUUAAUGUGAUCUAUUCCUCCCACAAACUCCCAUAACACUCCAUAACUUUCUAAUGAUGCCCUCCACAUUCC